AUUGAACGCUGGCGGCAGGCCUAACACAUGCAAGUCGAACGGCAGCACAGGAGAGCUUGCUCUCUAGGUGGCGAGUGGCGGACGGGUGAGGAAUACAUCGGAAUCUGCCCAGUCGUGGGGGAUAACGUAGGGAAACUUACGCUAAUACCGCAUACGACCUUCGGGUGAAAGAGGGGGAUCGCAAGACCUCUCGCGAUUGGAUGAGCCGAUGUCGGAUUAGCUAGUUAGCGGGGUAAUGGCCCACCAAGGCGACGAUCCGUAGCUGGUCUGAGAGGAUGAUCAGCCACACUGGAACUGAGACACGGUCCAGACUCCUACGGGAGGCAGCAGUGGGGAAUAUUGGACAAUGGGCGCAAGCCUGAUCCAGCCAUACCGCGUGGGUGAAGAAGGCCUUCGGGUUGUAAAGCCCUUUUGUUGGGAAAGAAAUCUUUCAGGCUAAUACCCUGGGAGGAUGACGGUACCCAAAGAAUAAGCACCGGCUAACUUCGUG
rnacentral:rRNA from 1 species